GGGGGACACCUGAGGACACAGAAUAAAGAGACAGACAUCAUGUUGGAUCUCCUCAGCCGGUAAACCUCCACCUUCAACACCACCAGUCAGAUGGAGGAAGAUAAGAGAACCCUGUUGACAAAAAAACUGACCAACAAUUAAAGCAGAAGACCUGCUCCACCUGCUGAUCUACUGGUUGUAAGAGAUUGUGGAAAAGCAUAACUGAGACAAGACAACAGCACUGAACCAAUCAGGAGAGAGAAGACAGAGAAAAUCCUGCUGGAAAUCCCGAGAUGAAGUUUCCUGAUGCAACAGGGGGAAACCUGAGGACACAGAAUAAAGAAGGACCAAGUGAAACUCAUGAAGAGGAUGGUCAGAGUUGUCCAUAGCUUUCUUGACUCUUAUGAAGAAUCCUUCUUUGCAUCAUCUCCAGAGGUUCCACAGUCGUCUCCAGAACAGAACCAGAACAAAUCCAGCCUUCUUUAUCAGAUUGUUGAGCCUUUUGAGGUUCCUGGCUCUGAUGCUGCUGCACCAACAGAUGAUAGCAGAAGAGAUGACACUCUUCUGAUGUGUCUUCUUCUUAGACACAUCAGACUUAAAGAUCUGCAGCAACUUGCUGCAAAUCUUGAAGGAUCGUAGCUUCCUCGAGAAGCGCAGUCUGCUCUGUCUCUUUUUAUAGACGGCUUCACUGUUGCGUCUCCAGUCCAGUCUGUGUUCCAGAUGAACACCGAGUCAAGAAUAGAUGAUUGUUCCCACACCAGGCCACAAAGUGAUCCACCAGAUCUCUGUACUCAGCCUCUUGUCUUCCUCUGAUACACACAACAACUGCAGAGUCGUCUGAGUAUUUCUGUAGAUGACAGAAGUCGGACUUGUGCGGGAAGUCCGAACAGUAGAGAGUGAAAAUGAAUGGUAGUCACAGAUGCAGGUGAUUGUUGAGGCCUCCACCUGUGUCUUCUGGAGUUUCUAACGGAGCAGAUCAGGCUGAAUUGUGUUCAAUGCACCUGAGAAGCAAAGACCCUGAUCCUCACUGUGCUGCCUGCUUUGUCCAGAUGACAGUGGGUUUGUAGAACCAGGUGUCUGAUCAACUCCAACUCCACGGUGAUAAGCAAACUGCAGGGGGUCCUGAUAUGUGAUCGUCUGCUUACUCAAGUGGGCCACCAGGAGUCUCUCCAGGACCUUCAUGAUGUGCGAUGCCAGGGCAACGGGUCUACAGUCGUUAUGACUGAUGGGUGACUUUUCUUCGGUACCGGAACCAGGCAGGAUGUCUUCCACAACAACGGAACCUCCUCUUGGGUCAGGCAAAGGUUGAAGAGAUGCUGCAGAAUCCCACAGAGGGACUCUGGGACCGACACCAUCUGGACCUGCAUCCUCGUUCCUGUUCAGUCUCUCCGGCUGCUUCUUCACCUGACUUCUAGAUACAGAAAGGUUGGAGGUGGAGGCAAAAAGGGAGCAGCAGCGUCUCCUAAUGUGGUUGAAGACAAACUGGUGGAAGCAGAAGAGUCCAUGACUGAGGUGGAAGAAGGAACAUCUGAGGCUUGACAGGAAAGCUGUGGGUCAGAGGAGGAUGAGAUAUCUGGCUGCAGACAGGAGAGGAUGAUGAUGAUGAUGAGCUUGUUCCUGGACUGAACCUGUUGAAGAAUGUGUUCAGCUCAUUUGCUGUGUCCAGAAACUAAUAUUGUUUAAAAAAAAAAGUCAUGGUAGCAUGUUUUUAUGCAAUAAUGUGUAUGUAAUGUUUGGAAUGAAGAAGAUAUGCUGCAUAAUCUGAUGUAAUUACUAAAGAGUUUUGUGUCUCGGUGCAAAAACACACAUUUUGUUCGUUUCUGAAGAGUAAAAAUUGAACAAAUGUGUUAAUCACUUAAAGAUUAAGUUUAUAUUUCACAGUCAUCACAAUGCUAAAGAAAAGUCUGACAACAGUGUGAAAAUUAUGUUGUGGAAAGAAGAUAUUAAAGAAUGUAAUAUAUUUUGCAGUGUCAUAGGUUAUUUCUAUGUUAUGAUGUAAUAUAAUACAUGUGUUUUUGGACUUAUUGUAUUCUGUUUUAUUUUUGUGUGUAACUUUCACUUGACUUGUGAAAACAUGGAAAGUAAUUAAGCUGAUCGUAGAGUAAAAUAACAUUUAAGUUGUAAGCAAAUUCAAUAAAAGCUUUUUUUGUCGUCA